rnacentral:rRNA from 1 species
UACGAAGGGGGCUAGCGUUGCUCGGAAUCACUGGGCGUAAAGGGUGCGUAGGCGGGUCUUUAAGUCAGGGGUGAAAUCCUGGAGCUCAACUCCAGAACUGCCUUUGAUACUGAGGAUCUUGAGUUCGGGAGAGGUGAGUGGAACUGCGAGUGUAGAGGUGAAAUUCGUAGAUAUUCGCAAGAACACCAGUGGCGAAGGCGGCUUACUGGCUCAUUUCUGACGCUGAGGUGCGAAAGCGUGGGGAGCAAGCAGG